rnacentral:lncRNA from 1 species
CUUCUUGCCUGCUGCCACAAAGACGUGUCUUGCUUCCCCUUCGCCAUCUGCCUUGAUUGUGAGGCCUCCCCAGCCACGUGGAACAACUUUGCUGCUCUAUUGCCAAACUACUCAUAUCCCCCUGUUACUGUGAAACUUGGUGAAAUUCCUCAGGGAUUUUGAGACAUCAAAGCAAUCUCUCUAGUUCUGGAAAGACUGAAUUUGCAGCAUCUGCUGAAAUGAGGACCCUGUUUAUUCAACAACUCCUAAACUGAGCUUGUUCAACCUAUGGCCCGUGGGCUGCAUAUGGCCCCACGACAGCUCUGAAUGUGGGCCAAUGCAAAUUCGACAAUUUGUGUUUAUCCAGUGUGUCUCAGAAAAGCUAAAUGAUUGGACACCCCUGCAACAGUACAUGCCUGGAAAAGACAUAAGAAGCAGACACAAUAGUGGUAAAAAAGCAUUACACAAGAUAAAAGGUAAGUCUGAGGCCACAGCUUACAAGGUGGCCUACACAGGAAGAUGCAAUAAAAACAGUUUCUCGGUUAUCUCCUAUCUUUGUGAAGCUACUCCUAUUCAUGCUUUCUUCCCACUUCUUUUCUUCCUUCUUCUUCUUGUUCUUUCUUCUUCCUCUUCCUCUUCUUCUUCUUCUCUUCUUGUUCUUCUUCUUCUUCCUCUUCCUCUUGCUCCUUCUCCUCCUCCUCCCCCUUCUUCUUCCUCUUCCUCUUCCUCUUCCCCUUCUCCUUCUUUCUCCUUCUCCUUCUUCUUUUUAAAUAUCUACUUGGAUCAGUCAACAGUGCCACCUAAAUUUUAUGGAAUAGCUGGUGAGAAGAAUUAUAUUCUUUUUCAUUACCAGUAAGAGGGCUCUGCCUUCCACCUUGUUUUGUUGUUGUUGUUACUUUAUCUGUUCUCUACCUUUUCCUACCCCCUUUCUCCAUUGCUAUUGCAUUCUCUCUGUAUUUUUGGGAUAGAGCAGGUAAACUGAGUUAAAAACAACACAAUUUGACAGGAAAGUCAUUUACAAAGGUGAACCAAUACCUUAUUCUGUUAAAAUCCAUAUAAAAUGAGGUUUCAAAAUAUAUAUUUUAUUUAUACAAACAUAGCAAUAUAUCAGUAACAUUGACAGACAAAGAGAAGAAAAAUGCGAAGACUGCUUUAUAUUUUGUUUGCUCCUCUACACUGUUAAUUGAUGAACAUAAAUCCACCAGGGAAUGUGCAAGAUGUUUAAUCUGCCAUUCCUUUUGUUGGUCUCAGUUGCUUUAUGGUGCAAGCAACUGAAAACAUUGAAUGUUUAUACUAUAAGGCCUCGAAGGCAAAUGAAAUACUUCUUUUAGGGCUCAACUGAAGAAUUAGUAAUUUUUCCCAAUUGUGGAGGAUUUCUAAAUAUUUGUCAGUAUUAAGCUAAAAUUAAUGAGUGAAAAAAUGUAUACAGUCUUUACUUCACUUUUAAUUUAUGGGAUAUGUACUUUAUUACAUCAUUUUUAAUAAUAUGAAAUAAUUUAAACACAUAGAUAAUAUACAACGUAUACGAUGUAUAAAGAGUAGUGAAAGGAACCACCCAGGUUAUGAAGAAGAAGAUCUCUAAUAUUAUCAAAGCCCCAAGAAUAGUUUUUCUCUAUUCAAUCACUUACCUUGAUCCCCAGGGUAGCAUCAAUCUGACUUUGUUGCUUCCCAUUGUCUUUUUUUAAUAGGUUUAUAUACAUAUAUGUAUAUCUCUUUAACAAUUUCUUUAAUUAUAAGUGUUUUUACUUUUACAAAAUUGGUAUCUUAUAUAUGGUUUUCAUACUUGCCUUUUUUACUCAAUAUUGGGUGUCUGAGAUUCCUCCAGGUUUUUAAUCAGUUUUCCUAAGAUAAAUAUUUUGAAGUUGUUUUCAGCUUUUCACUAUUGUAAACAAUGCUGCACUGGAUAUUCUUAUUCAUGUUUCCUGAUAGACAUAUGCAAAAGUUUCUUUAGGCAAGGGAUUAUUGGUCCAUAAGGUAUGCACCUGUGUAACUUUAUUCCAAAAUGCCAAAAUGCCUUUAAAAGAUUUUUGAUUACACUCUUGCCAUCUUUUUAUGACAGUUCUACUUCCUCCAUUCCUCGCCAAUAGUUGGUAUUGUCCAUUAUUUUAUUUUACUUUUAAAUUUUAUUUUAUAUUAUACUUUUGUCAAUGUAGUGAGUGUAAAGUAAUAUUUCAUUAUGUGUUUAGCUCAGAAGUACAACUGCCGGAUUGCAGGAUAUACUAAAUAGUUUUCCAAGGCUUCCUUUACCACCCUCUGCUCCUGUAUCUAAUUUCCGCUCUACAAUGAGGGUAAAAUUAUAUCCCAUUGUGGUUUUAAUUUGCAUCUUCAUGAUUACCAGUGAGGAGCUUUUCAUGUAUUAUUUAGCUAUUCAUGUUUCCUUUCAUGUAGAAUAACUGCUCUUGUUUUUGCCUAUAUUUAUAGAAGUUUUUGUAUGUUCUGAAUAAUCUUUUUUAGGUCAUAUGUGUGGCACAUAUUUUAUCCUAGUUUUUGUCUUCUCUUUUUAUUUGCAAUGUAUUGUCUUAUGAUAAGCAAAAGUUUAUAAUUUUAAUGCAUAGAGCUUUUAAUAUAAUUGUUUUCACAUUUUCUGAUGUGCUUAAGAAAUCCUCAAUGCUGUGGUCAUGAAGUUAUUCUCAUUUUUUUUCCUAAAAAAUUUAAGGAGUUGUUUUUCACAUUUCAGUGUUUAUUUGGAGAAUGUGUGUGUAUGUGUGAGCAGGUGUGUGGUAGGAGGCAGGAAUCCAAUUUCCCUUUUUCCAACAUGAGUCCUAGUACCCCUUGUCAAAUAUGCCCCAUUAAUGUGCAAUGACAACUCUGUCGUAUAUGAGUUGCCAUAUGUGUUUGGGUGUGUCUGAGUUCCCAAAUCAAUUCCAUUUGUCUUUUUCUUCCAUAUCCAUAAUAAUGUGCCGUUUUCAUUAUUACAACUUUAUUAUAGGUCUUAAUAUACAGAAUGGGCAAGUCACACUACUUGUUCAUCAGGAAAUCUUAACUAUUUUCCUUUUAUCUUCCAUAUGAAUAUUGGAAUGAGCUCACUAAUUUCCAUGCCAACAUUGUGACUGGAAUUACAUUGAGACUAAAGAUCAAUUUGGGAAGAAAUGCCAUCCUUAUAAUAAUAUAUCAAUAAAUCCUUAAUAUUAUUGCUGUAGUCUGAAUGUUUAUUCAUAUGUUGAAAUCCUAACCCCCAAGGUGAUAGUAUUAAGUGUUGGGGUCUUUGGGAGGUGAUUAUAUUAUAUUAUCUUUCCAUCAUGUGAAGACACAGCUAAAAAGCACCAUCCAUGAGGGAGCAGGCCCUUACCAGAUACCACAGCCACUUUGAUCUUGAACUUCCCAGCCUCCAGAAUUAUAAGAAAUAAAUGUCUGUUGUUUACUAAUUAUCUAAUUUAAGGCAUUUUGUUAUAGCAGCCUGAACAAAUUAAGAUAAUGGUCAAGUGUUUGGUCAAUGUUAACAUAAAAAUAUGUUUUAAAAUUAAAAUAUUUCCUAUUGCUGGUGUAGUGGAAUACUAUUCAGUUGUCCUAUAAAGAAAACCUGCUAAACUCUCUUUUUAAUCAUAACAAUUUUCUUCAUUUUUUCUAUGUAAAACAAUUAUAUCACAUGCAAAAUAAUUAAGGUUUUAUUAUAUCUCUUCUAAUUAUUUAGAGAUUUAACUUUUUUUUUUGUUUUACUACACAGGCUAUGACCUCCAGAAAAUAUUUAAAGAAAUAUUAAUGUGUGAUAGUAGAUAUCCAUGUUAUAAUGUAUAUGUCAGGUUAAAGAUGUUCCUUCCAUUCUCAUGUUGUUAACAGCUGUUUUAUGAAUGCAUAUUAAAUUUUGUCAGAAAUUCCGAUACAUUUAUUAAGACAAUUGUAUGUUUUAUUUCUUUAAUUUGGUGGAUUACGUUAGUAAAUUUUUUAAAUAGUAAACUUGCAUUCCUAAAAUAAGCUGGACUACUAUAAUGAAUUAUAAUUUUAGCUAUCAUGUGAUAUAUUUUGCAAAUAUUUUAUUAUUUUCACAUCCAUUUUUAAAAGUAAAUUUGGCAUGUAAUGUUCCUUUCAACUAUCACUUCUGAUUUUGAUUUGUAAUAUACAAAUCUCACAAAAUGAGAUAGCAAGCCUUCCUUCUCGAUCUACUCUCUAGAAGAGGUUGGAUAUUAUUAGAAUUUUUAAAAGACAAACUUUUCUUAUACUAAAAAUUGUCUGUACUUGAUAUUCUCAUUAUGGGAGAACUAUGAACUGCUGAUUUAAUGAUUUUAAUUUAAGAAUUUUUUAAAAUGUAUUCUUUGAAUCACAGCUCUUUCAUUGCACUCCGUGCUAGCUUACAUAAAUUUUCUAAUUUCUAGGUUUCUGGUUUCAUCAUCUGCCAUAGUACUUUUUUUUUUUCCUUGGGAAUUUCUCUUAUGAUUCUGUCACCUCAGGAUAGUAGUCCUUCAAAGUAGUUAUGUUAUAAUGUAUUCAGCAUAUAUGCGUUUUUCAGAAUAUCUAUUAACAAAUUACUCAAAAUGGAAAUGCACUAUAACACCUUAGACAUGAUUUCUUUGUAGAUAUUGAUUGCUACUCCCACAAUAUCCAAGGGGGAAAACUCUGGAAAAGUAGUUAAGAAUUAUGGCCUAAGCUGUUUCUUCCACAGACUUUCAUAAUAGAAUAGAUACUUGUUCAAAAUUGAUUGAGGUGAUACCAUUUGGCACAUUAUCUCACCAAUUAGAGAUUAGAUUAUUCAAAUCUCCUACACUCUGGUUGUUGACUGGAUUCAAGGGAAUAUGAGCACACCUUUAUAGAAACCUAGAAAAUACAAGUAUAUCAAUAAAAAAUGCAUACUAAAAGAUGAUAACAAAGUUUUUGGAUACACAUGAUUGUAGAAAUACUGGUCUCUAGAAAAUAUGAUUUCUUCAUAAACAGUGGCAAUAUUUCAAAUAGUUAAUCAUAAGUUUAAAAAUAACUCUUAAAUUGUAGUCUUCCUAAGAUUACUUUUAAAUUCUGAUGCCGUUUAAAAUUUUAUUUUAAAUUUAUCAAGUUUAAUGUACAUGCUUCUCUUGUUUAAGAAAAUGAUUUCAGGAGAUCAUAUGAGUUCAUAGUUCUACAAUUAUGUAAUUUUUAAAUUGUUUUAAAUCAGCCUUCUUUGACACAGUCUUACAGCUACAAAUGGUUUAGUCAAAGGGUUCUAUUUAUUAAUCAUUUCAAAUCAUUUAGAAUGUUAAAAUAAAUAGAUUUUAUUGAGAAUGUCAACAGUUUAUUAUACAUUUUUUCCCCACAAUAAAUGUUUCAGGAUUUAUGGUGAACCACUCUGCUAUAAUUAGGUAGUUUGCUGUAUUAAAUGAGAAAUUCUAUUAAAGAAUUAACUGCAAUAUAAUCUAAGUUUACUAAUUUCAGAGAAAUUUGCAAAAAUUGAAGGGUAUAACCUAAAAUCACACGGUAUUUAUUUGACAGAGUGUUUUACUGUGCUUUACUUUUUAAAAUAAGGGUUUCCACGGGCCAGUAGUUUUGGCAGGCAGCAUAAUGAACUGUCAUGCCUAAGACUUGAAUUUGGAAGUAACUUUGGCAUUAAUGUUCCAUUGGCCAAUGGAGAUUAGAAAUGGGAGAAUUUUGGCUUUAGUAGACAAAAUUCUGUUUAUAUCAAUGUUCAACACCUGCUACUGUAUGAGCCACAGAGCAACAGUGAUGUCAGAAUUGGAGGAAGCCAGGCAUGUAGUAUUCCUAACACCAGGUUGAAUGCCAAGAGUAUACUGUAAAUGAAUGGGGAACAAAAACAUCUAAAGAACGAUGAACUAGAAGUACACAUGGAAAAAAUCAGCACAUUUAUUAAUGCCUAUUAACAUUUUCUUAUGUGUAUUUACAAUAACAUAUGCAGAUACUCAUACUAUACCGGGUGAUAUUUCUAAUAUAGUAUUAAAAAGUCAAACAUUUCAUUAGGUUGUUAUUUGAAUUGGUAUCCAAUGUAGUAAAAUUCUGCUAAUCAUGUACUAUAUAUGUGUGAUAAAUUUAAAGAUUACAUAGGAUGAAAUUACCUUUUAAUCUCAUAAUUUUGCUUUGAAAAUAUUAAGAUUAAAACACAUGAUAAACUGUAAUAAACAUAGCAGCAAGGAAUUAAAUGGUUGAGAGGGAAAGGCAGCAUCCCGUAGCCUUCCCUUGCAACAGAGCCACUAAUGGCAUGCCAAUGAAACAAUGGUUUCUUGUUCAACUACUUCUUACCUUCUAAAAUAACAUAGUAACUACAAAUUUUAUAUUAAAUGUCUACUAUUAUGCUUAAUCAUCACAAAAAACUCUUGAUAUAACUACUAUGGUUGCCACUUUACAGAUAAGGAAAUUGAAGGCUAGAUAAUGCAAUCAAGAUGUUGAACGUCCUAGAUUAAAUAAGUCAGUUUUCUACUAUUCUACACUGAAUCUCAGAUUUCCACUAUACCGUGCUAUUUAGAAAAAGCAGCUAGUUUCCCAAUCUGAGAUGCUUUCCAAAAGCAAUAAAAAUGAUGAGUGUUAGAAAGCACUGUAUCUGGGUAAAAUAAAAGUUAGAUAGUAAGAGGUAGGUGGAAAUAAAUCUUUAUGCUCAUGAGAAAAUGAUGCUCAGGGAAAUUAAUGUAGCAAUGUAAAAAAUACAAUAGAAUGAAUUUCACAGUUUGGGAACCAUCUGAACAAAGAAGAAGAAAACAGAUUCUUUAUACAUUCUGUUUAAAAAUCAGUUCAGAAAUGGAUUAUCUGCCAGAGAACGUAAUAGUCUCUCCUCUUCUGAUCAACGAAAAUAUGGUACAUAUCUGCCUGCUCUACAAGUAAUAGAAGGCAUGCUGAUGGGCUCAGUGCCCUCUACUUAAGUCCCAGGCAAAAAGCUGAUACUCAACAAAUACUUUAAUUGAUUUGGUAUUUAUAUCAAUUUAUGUUCCACGUGACAGUAAGAUAAGCUUGAUUUAAAAACCAGAGCACACAGAAAUAUAACAAACUGUCAACACAUCUACUAUUACCUGUGCCAGAAAAAAAAUCCAGUAUUAUAACUCUACAUCUUUCACUCUUGCACACAUUUGUGCAGGAGAUAAUUUCAUCUCUGGUUAACAGUGAGUGCAUAUUUGGAUUUCAAGAGAGAAGAACACAAUAGGGUAUCUGAAAGCAGACUCACGGAAUGGACAAAUUAAUCCAAUCAGUAAGACAAUACGAGUCUUCAAACUUGGGUGGUCAAUACACAGAAACUUUUGAUAAAAAGAGUCAUUAUUUCUAUUUUUUUCAAGUAAGUGAAUAGAUAACUGAAUAAAUAAUUGGGAGAAAGUUUUUCCAUUUUGAUAAGAUUGUAAUAGAAAUGACUAGCCUUUAUCACACUUCAAAAUAAGCAUAUUUACUUUACCACACUUCAAAAUAAGCAUAUUAAACACUAACAAAGAUUCCCUUUUCUUGUCAUUAACACAAAGAUUAUUAAUCUCUUUCAGUAAUCUUAAAAAAUUAAGCGUUUUAAAAGACAGGUAGUAGUCUUACCCUUUUUAACACAUCCUGAAAAUUCAACUAUAGAAGUCUAGCACUUAGUAAAUGGUAACCACAAUCAAUGUUCAGGAAAUAUUUUUUACUAAGUAAAUAUACCUUUAAGACUAUAUUGAAAACCUAAUUUUAAGAUGUUAUAUACUUAUUUUAGUUUAUUUUCUAAUACAGCAAACUGAAUCUUGAGUUCUUCUGCAAGACUGACUAAAAUGUAAUGGUAAUUUUAUAUAAUGGGGAAGAUAUAUUUUUAAAAUAAUUUUUAGAUGUCAUCUCUCUGCGACAAUGCAAACAGGUUAAGAUUAUGCCAGAACAAUAAAUUAUAAUGAUUAUGUCAGAACAAUAUUUAAAACUAGUAAGAACUUACAUGUUAUUUUUCAGUUGUUAGCCCAGACUACCUUCCUUCCUGGGCAGACUCAUUUCAGCACCAAACACUGAAAUCAUCUCAAUUAAAUCAACUUGUCUUGACAUGUCAGGUUACAAAAAUCAUGAGACAACUAACUUUUAACCCACCCAAACUUAUGAAAUACAUCGAAAUCAAUCUGUAGAGAUGGCUGGCCUUUGGAAGUAAUGAUAGUAUGAAAACAAAAACGAAAAUUAUAAGUUCUAAAACAAUAGAGAUAAAACGUGUUUUGAAGCAUGUUACACAUUUUGGUAUUCGAAUAAGUUAUUUACGUGCUUCAUCUCUAUUGUAUACAUGAAGAAAGAAAAAAGAGGUUUCUUGCUAGACCAGAAAUAAGCUGCAUUGACAAUGGUAUAUUUCUGAUAUACAUUAUUCCUAUCAGGCCAGGACCUAGUCUACUGAACCUAAUGAAUUAUCCAUGAUACCAGAAGAGCAGACUUUCAGCAAAAGUUUGGCAGUGGGGAGUGGGUGGGUGGAGAUGGGAGUUUUGGGAAGAGGAGGAUGGAGAGUAAAAUAAUUCUAGAUUUUGGAUUCAGCAAAGGAGGGCUUAACCUCUGGUUUAAGCAUAAAAGCUAGAUGAUCUUAUACAUAUUAACACAUUCUAACCCUUGUUAGUCCAAGCUGCACCAUUUUGUAAGUCCUCAGCCAUUUUGCAGGUCCUGGCCACAGUCAAACAUUUCACAGGGGUUCGGGCUGUGAGACACAUCCUGCCCAGCCACCUGACUUCCUUAUCAUAUCCUGCUGGGCAAACAUCCCAGGAACAUCCUAUCACAGUCCGCUGGAAACAGGGCCAAACUGCCUGAUCAUAAGAACAUCUAAUCAAUAUCCUCCGGGCAGCAAGCCAAACCGCCCAGACUACUCCCACCCAGACCUAUAAUUAUCCCAGUCUGUAGGCCUCAGUGGGCUCUGACAUUUACCUGGUCCCCACCUCUGCAGGUUGCGCUUGCAAUAGACCUGUGUUGCUGUAGAGCCGCCAACUCUCUCUCUGUCUUUCUUUAACCUUCACCUUCUCUUCAAAACUUAAACCUUAGUUUCAACAUUGUAAUUGUCCACCCUCAGUUUCAACAUUGUAAUAUGUUGAACAGUAACAUUUUAUAGAGUUUCUUAGAGCAUUUAGAGUUUUUUAGAACAUAUGUAAAGUCCUUAGCAUAGUCUCUAGUACCUCCAGACAUUUACAAAUGUAACUUCCCUUCUUCUCUUUCUUUCCUAAAUGAUUUGUCCCAAGUACUGAGAAUAUUAUAAAAACUGCAUCAGAAAAUAUACUUGAACUUAGCUUCAUUUUAUGGUUGGACUUAUAAAGCUCCUAUUUGACAUCUUUCUUUUUAAUUCAAAACAGUUCAUGAUAUUUUAAUGUACAGUUCUAGACACUGGAUUCAAAUUUUUAUAUACUUUCUUGUGGGUAUAUAUCCAAAGAAAAUUAUAUCUUUAUCUCAAAGAAGUAUUCACAUGCCUAUCUUCAUUGUAUAGUUUUUCAUGAUAGUCAAGAUAUGAAAACAACCCAAGUGUCCAUCAGUGGAUGAAUGGGUAAAGAAUAUGUGGUAUCUAUAAAAUGAACUCUCUCAUUCAGCCAUCAAAAUAAAGGAAUCUUGCCAUUUGUAACAAUAUGGAUGAACCUGGAGGAUACUAUGCUAAUAUCGAAUUAGCCAGAAACAGAAAGACAAGUACUGCAUCAUCUCAAUUAUGUGAAAUGAAAAAAAAAAAAAAUCAAACUAAUAGAAUCAGAAUGUAGCAUGGUGGUUGCCGGGAGGUAGGGGUAUAUGGUGGUGGAAGAAAUGGAGAGGUAUUGAUGAAAAGGUACAAACGUUCAGUAAUAAGAUGAAUAAAUACCAGGAAUCUAAUGUACAAAUUCGUGACUAUGGUUAAUAAUAUUUUAUUAUUUACUUGAAAUUUGGUAAGAGAACAGUGUCCUUACCACACACACACACACACACACACACACACACACACACAGAGUAACUAUGGGUAGUGAUGAAUGUGUUAAUUAAUUUGAUUGUGGUAAUUAUACAAUGUCUACAUAUAUGAAAUCAUUAUGUUGCGUACCCUAAAUACAUGCAAUUUUGUCAAUUAUACUUCAAUAAAGCUGGAGGAAAAAUACCACAACAGGUUGAAUGCAGAAACACAUAUGAGAAUCUAGCAGUGUUUUAUUAAGCCAGACAGUAAAGAGAUUUGAAAAAUAUAAAACAAUGCCACUCUUCUCUCUAAAUGU